CCUACGGGAGGCAGCAGUGGGGAAUAUUGGGCAAUGGGCGCAAGCCUGACCCAGCAACGCCGCGUGAAGGAAGAAGGCUUUCGGGUUGUAAACUUCUUUUCUCAGGGACGAAGAAUGUUACGGUACCUGAGGAAUAAGCCACGGCUAACUUCGUGCCAGCCGCCGCGGUAAUACGUAGGUGGCAAGCUUAAUCCGGAUUUAUGGGGUUAAAGGGUCGUGUAGGUGGGAGGGCAAGUCAGAUGUGAAAACUCAGGGCUCAACCCUGGCCCUGCAUUUGACACUGUGUUUCUUGAGUGCUGGUGCGGCGAGCGGAAUGCCGGGUGUAGCGGUGAAAUGCGUAGAUAUAC
rnacentral:rRNA from 1 species